rnacentral:rRNA from 1 species
AUUGAACGCCGGCGGCAGGCCUAACACAUGCAAGUCGAGCGGAUGAGGGGAGCUUGCUCCUGGAUUCAGCGGCGGACGGGUGAGUAAUGCCUAGGAAUCUGCCUGGUAGUGGGGGAUAACGUCCGGAAACGGGCGCUAAUACCGCAUACGUCCUGAGGGAGAAAGUGGGGGAUCUUCGGACCUCACGCUAUCAGAUGAGCCUAGGUCGGAUUAGCUAGUUGGUGGGGUAAAGGCCUACCAAGGCGACGAUCCGUAACUGGUCUGAGAGGAUGAUCAGUCACACUGGAACUGAGACACGGUCCAGACUCCUACGGGAGGCAGCAGUGGGGAAUAUUGGACAAUGGGCGAAAGCCUGAUCCAGCCAUGCCGCGUGUGUGAAGAAGGUCUUCGGAUUGUAAAGCACUUUAAGUUGGGAGGAAGGGCAGUAAGUUAAUACCUUGCUGUUUUGACGUUACCAACAGAAUAAGCACCGGCUAACUUCGUG